UCCACCCAGGACCAAUCAAACAAUUACCUUAGGUGCUAGAAAUGGGUGGGGCUUACACGUCACAUAUUCAGUGAACGGCUAACAUCACAUAUAGGCCUACUCCAAUAUCUCACCUUUUUUUUUUUUUUUUUAUUGUGAAAUCUCCAAAAGAUUUUGGACAGAUUUGGAGUCUCACUUUUUUUUGAACCCACCAACUUUAUCUACUCCUUAAACCUUACAGAUAUCAUCUGUUUCUACGAUAAUUCAGGUGUGAGGAUGGUGGGUCAGGAAAGACAGGAGAAGGCAACAGUUUAGCAGGUCCUGGGCUCCAGGUGCUUCCAGGUUCUGGAUGGUGCUGACCCUGUUCAGACUCUGCUGAAGGAAGAGCUGAGCCGACUCCACAGAACCAGAACCGCAACGCGAGUCCACCAAGUCCAGACCGUUGCCUGGCAACUAAAAGACAGGACAACAGUUACCGGCGAGACGGAGAGCGCCCCGUCGACUGUCUAAAGCCCAGUAGUAGAUCUUAGCACAACUGAGCAAAGUGCAAUAAAUACACCCGCGCUUUUUGCACAUAGCCCUUCAA